AGUGAACGCUGGCGGUAGGCCUAACACAUGCAAGUCGAACGGCAGCACAGUAAGAGCUUGCUCUUACGGGUGGCGAGUGGCGGACGGGUGAGGAAUACAUCGGAAUCUACUUUUUCGUGGGGGAUAACGUAGGGAAACUUACGCUAAUACCGCAUACGACCUACGGGUGAAAGCAGGGGAUCUUCGGACCUUGCGCGAUUGAAUGAGCCGAUGUCGGAUUAGCUAGUUGGCGGGGUAAAGGCCCACCAAGGCGACGAUCCGUAGCUGGUCUGAGAGGAUGAUCAGCCACACUGGAACUGAGACACGGUCCAGACUCCUACGGGAGGCAGCAGCGGGGAAUAUUGGACAAUGGGCGCAAGCCUGAUCCAGCCAUACCGCGUGGGUGAAGAAGGCCUUCGGGUUGUAAAGCCCUUUUGUUGGGAAAGAAAAGCAGCAGGUUAAUACCCCGCUGUUCUGACGGUACCCAAGGAAUAAGCACCGGCUAACUUCGUG
rnacentral:rRNA from 1 species